rnacentral:rRNA from 1 species
UACGAAGGGGGCUAGCGUUGUUCGGAUUUACUGGGCGUAAAGCGCACGUAGGCGGAUUGGUCAGUUAGGGGUGAAAGUCCUGGAGCUCAACUCCAGAACUGCCUUUAAUACUGGCCAGUCUCGAGUCCGGAAGAGGUAAGUGGAACUCCUAAGUGUAGAGGUGGAAUUCGUAGAUAUUAGGAAGAACACCAGUGGCGAAGGCGGCUACUGGUCCGGUACUGACGCUGAGGAGACGAAGCGUGGGUAGCAAACAGG